CAGCCUGGAGAAGGUGGUUGUAAAUGGCUGACUCAGAGGAUGAUGAUCAGCACGACAGUGCCUUCUGCCUGUGCUAGUACUAUGUGUUUAUAGGAGAGAUGUUAUAAGGUGACGGUAACCAGUUCAGCUCCACCCCUUGAUCUGUUCACCAGGCAUUAUGGAGACUGGAAAGACCAAGAGAGCAAAUGGAGGAAGGAGCAUAUUAAUUGGGGUUCUCCUGAUGCUUCUCCUGUAAGAUAACCACCCUGGGAACAUGAGGGGCUGUGGGAAGCAGAGUGGGAUGUCUGCACUCUUGACUUGGACUACAGAAGGCUGCACAUAUCUAGGCAUGGAGACCCUGCAUCAGUUUGCUCAGCAGAUUUGUGGACUUUACCCAGUGGACUAUGGAGUUUGUUCGACCUAUCUGUAUUUCUGGAUUGAACUCCAAUCUCAUAUUCAUAAUUGAUGUAUCUUGAAAAUAUCCUCUUCUGCUCAACUGGCUCUCUGUUACUACUGACACUGACACAGGGCCAUUAUUUUUAUGCAGUUCCUGUAGUUUGUAAAGGGAACUUAAGAGUGUGUCCAUCAAGGAAGAGUUACCUGUGUUCAUAACCAAGAGGAGGACAGAGAGUUGAGAGUCUUCCCUCACUCACUGCAGAGACAGGAUCAGCUGGAAAUAAUGGUCUUAUGAAGGUGAAAAUGCAAUGUGCUUUGACAAGUCACUUUUAUCUAGCAGUAUUAUUCGGCUGUAUGUAGAUGUGGGACUUCAAAACCAUUUUCAAGGUUGCCCCAACACAGAGAUAUUCUCCCUCUAGAGAGUUUCAGCAAGCACACCUGAAGCUAUGGGAACAGACUGAAUCCCUCCCUCCACCUACCCAUCCAUCCAACUGAGGAGUUGUUGUCUACUCCACAAAGGAUCUGCACUGAAUCAGCUGCACAGCAAGUUUUCCACUCACAGCUUUCCCCUGCCCAGUGUCAAACAUGCUGAGGGGAUCUCGGGCAACUUCUGUUAAGAGCAAUAUCAUCCUGGAUUUCUCCUCUGUGAUCCUGCUAACUGAUAUUUAAACAAUUCACACUCUUCAAGGACCCAGCUUAGCUGUCUCCCCUAUGCAUUUCAAAUCACUAAUCCAUAUACCCUUUGCUUAAAUUCUGCGUCCUGUGAGGUUUCCUAUAUAAUUGUUGCCCCAGAUUGAUGAGUUUCUCUUCAGGAACCAUGAAGCAUUGAUGUGAAGAGAGAAUGUCAAAACAUCAUGCCUGAAAAUAGAUUAUCUUGUCCAAGACACAGAUACCAUUUCAUUCAAGUACUUUUAAAGCACUUCAUUGAGCAUGCCAGGUCCUUACAGACUCCCAGGGAAUAUGUUCUCCUCAAAACUGAGACUGGAUACUUCACCUCAAAAUUUACUAAUCUUAUUACACCUUUGGGUUUAGGUAUGUGUUAACUUACUAUAAGCACACAAACAUACUUCCUGCUAUACCUAUGCACCACUCUGCCAACAGAAGGUUUGGAAGUAUGUCUAUAAUUCCUGACAAAUUGCAGAGGAAAAAAUCUUCCAAGGAGAUACUGCACUGAUGCAUUUGCCAAGAGUCCUGGCCAGAACUGAUUACAGCCCACCACUGAGCUCUAGAAAGUGUGGCAUCAAGACUAGGUCUUCAAAACUGAAAGGCAACAACUAAUAAUAAUUAAAGGGUGUGGAUGUUUUUUCUUCCCCUGGGAAGCAGCACUUGGGGCAGAAAAUGAAACUCUUUCACGAAACCCCAUUGUGUGGCUUUGUCUUCCAAACACACUGGGGAAAAUAAGGGGAGGAGAUUCAAUAAGUGCAUCCAGGAGAAACUUGGAUUGCAGCCAAGAGUCGUGAUCUGGACAUUGCCAAGACUGUCAGCAGCACAGAGAGGAGGGGUCGCUUCCAAAAGACUUUUUGCAGAGAUUUUUUCCCUGCCAAACCCUCCUCCCAAGCCUGUAAGUAAGCCAUGAUGGCUAUGCCUUUUUUUAGUACAUGCAAAGCCUCUGGUACCAGAAAUUAGAAUGCCAUUGUUUGAACGCUUCUGUUUCUUGAGGAGAUGUCGGUGGUUUCCUCAGAGAAGUAAGCAGCACCCAAGGACAGAUGCCGAUGCACAGAAAACAUUUUAGGUGGUUUUGGUCAUAGGCCAGCCCAUGCCUGUAGAUACAUGAACUAAACCGGUCUAGU